GUGCCUACGGGCGGCAGCAGUGGGGAAUAUUGGACAAUGGGCGAAAGCCUGAUCCAGCCAUGCCGCGUGAGUGAUGAAGGCCCUAGGGUUGUAAAGCUCUUUCACCGGUGAAGAUAAUGACGGUAACCGGAGAAGAAGCCCCGGCUAACUUCGUGCCAGCAGCCGCGGUAAUACGAAGGGGGCUAGCGUUGUUCGGAAUUACUGGGCGUAAAGCGCACGUAGGCGGACUAUUAAGUCAGGGGUGAAAUCCCGGGGCUCAACCCCGGAACUGCCUUUGAUACUGGUAGUCUUGAGUCCGAGAGAGGUGAGUGGAAUUCCGAGUGUAGAGGUGAAAUUCGUAGAUAUUCGGAGGAACACCAGUGGCGAAGGCGGCUCACUGGCUCGGUACUGACGCUGAGGUGCGAAAGCGUGGGGAGCAAACAGGAUUAGAUACCCGAGUAGUC
rnacentral:rRNA from 1 species